GGAGCUGUGGCUCAGUGGUAGAGCACUCUCGCCUGGCAUUCAUGAGGCCUGGGUUCAAUCCCCAGCACCA
rnacentral:tRNA from 1 species